rnacentral:rRNA from 1 species
AAUAAACGCUGGCGGCGUGCCUAACACAUGCAAGUCGAGCGAGAAAGGUCUUCGGACUUAGUAAAGCGGCGGACGGGUGAGUAACGCGUGAGAAUCUGCCCUUCAGUGGAGAAUACCCUCGAGAAAUCGAGGUUAAUACUGCAUACGUUCCUUGUAAAAGGAAGAAAGAUGGCCUCUUUGCUGUCGCUGAUGGAUGAGCUUGCGUACUAUUAGCUAGUUGGUAGGGUAAUGGCCUACCAAGGCAGAGAGGGUUAGCCGGCCUGAGAGGAUGAUCCGCCACACUGGAACUGAGACAGGGUCCAGCCUCCUAGGGGAGGCAGCAGUGGGGAUUUUUGGACAAUGGGGCAACCCUGAUCCAGCCAUGCCGCGUGAGUGAAGAAGGCCUUCGGGUUGUAAAGCUCUUUCGGCCGGGAAGAAAUCGUAUGGGCUAAUACCCUGUGCGGAUGACGGUACCGGCAUAAGAAGCACCGGCUAACUACGUGCCAGCAGCCGCCGUAA